UUGAACGCUGGCGGCAGGCCUAACACAUGCAAGUCGAGCGGAUGAAGGGAGCUUGCUCCUGGAUUCAGCGGCGGACGGGUGAGUAAUGCCUAGGAAUCUGCCUGGUAGUGGGGGAUAACGUCCGGAAACGGGCGCUAAUACCGCAUACGUCCUGAGGGAGAAAGUGGGGGAUCUUCGGACCUCACGCUAUCAGAUGAGCCUAGGUCGGAUUAGCUAGUUGGUGGGGUAAAGGCCUACCAAGGCGACGAUCCGUAACUGGUCUGAGAGGAUGAUCAGUCACACUGGAACUGAGACACGGUCCAGACUCCUACGGGAGGCAGCAGUGGGGAAUAUUGGACAAUGGGCGAAAGCCUGAUCCAGCCAUGCCGCGUGUGUGAAGAAGGUCUUCGGAUUGUAAAGCACUUUAAGUUGGGAGGAAGGGCAGUAAGUUAAUACCUUGCUGCUUUGACGUUACCAACAGAAUAAGCACCGGCUAACUUCGUG
rnacentral:rRNA from 1 species